rnacentral:tRNA from 1 species
GGAGAUUUAGCUCAGUGGUAGAGCGCUUGCCUAGCAAGUACAAGGCCCUGGGUUCGGUCCCCAGCUCUG